rnacentral:rRNA from 1 species
AUUGAACGCUGGCGGCGUGCCUAACACAUGCAAGUUGAGCGGUAACAGGUGUAGCAAUACAUGCUGACGAGCGGCGAACGGGUGAGCAAUGCUCUGGAAUCUGCCUGAUAGUGGGGAAUAACCAGUCGAAAGAUUGGCUAAUACCGCAUACGCCCUUCGGGGGAAAGCGGGGGAUCGCAAGACCUCGCGCUAACAGAUGAGCCAAAGUCGGAUUAGCUAGUUGGUGAGGUAACGGCUCACCAAGGCGACAAUCCGUAGCUGGUCUGAGAGGACGACCAGCCACACUGUGACUGAGACACGGCCCAGACUCCUACGGAAGGCAGCAGUGGGGAAUAUUGGACAAUGGGGGAAACCCUGAUCCAGCGACGCCGCGUGUGUGAAGAAGGCCUGCGGGUUGUAAAGCACUUUUAGUGGGGACAAAAAGCUCAGGGCUAACACUCCUGGGUCUUGAUUUAACCCAAAGAAAAAGCACCGGCUAACUCUGUGCCAGCAGCCGCCGUAAAAC